rnacentral:tRNA from 1 species
CGGCGGUUGGGGUGUCGGCCCGGUCCGACCUGUUCGCACUGGGACUGAUCCUGUUCGAGCUGGCGACCGGCGA